UACGGAGGGUGCGAGCGUUGUCCGGAAUCACUGGGCGUAAAGGGCGCGUAGGCGGCUUCUUAAGCGUGUGGUGAAAGCUCAGGGCUCAACUCUGAGUCGGCCAUGCGAACUGGGAGGCUUGAGCACUGUAGAGGCAGGUGGAAUUCCGGGUGUAGCGGUGGAAUGCGUAGAGAUCCGGAAGAACACCGGUGGCGAAGGCGGCCUGCUGGGCAGUAGCUGACACUGAGGCGCGACAGCGUGGGGAGCAAACAGG
rnacentral:rRNA from 1 species